AUCCUUGCUUGACUUGAGAGGUAUGAGGUUGGAACAGCUGUAGCCAUCUCCAUCUAUUGAGGGAACACGGGUUUGAGAACACAGUCAAGUCAGGACGAGAACAAGAGACGCUGGAUCUUGAGGACAGUGCUUGAGCCCUCGAAUCAAUCAAUGUCUAAACUAAUGGAGGGUCGAUGAAGACAUUUGGCCAGAGGACCCUGAAACACCUGAAUCCCACCUUUGGCUGGCUAGCCCCAUUUCUCAGCAGUGCCUUCACAGGAGCGGUAAGUAGCACUUUAUUUUUAGAGAGAGCUUUGGUGAAAAACCAUAAUGCAAACUUGAGCAAGAGUGGACCUCAUGCUUCUUGCCUGUCAUGGUUCAAGCCCAAUUCUCAGGUAUUACCUGUUCGACUUUCUAGUUUCAUGUUCUCUGCCUCUGGCUGAUGUGUAUUGGCUCAGGUUUUUUGUGGUUUGGUUUUGAUUCUUGGUUUUCAACUAUAUCAGAGAAAAAAGCGAAAGUAUUUUGUCACCUUUGCCUAGAAUAUUUGCCGAAUGGUGGCUGCCCAAGUCCUUUCAAAUUGAGUGAAGAAAUCUGAGCCUGCUUCCAGGUGGGAGGAGGACUGUGUUUC
rnacentral:antisense_RNA from 1 species